UACGUAGGGUGCGAGCGUUGUCCGGAAUUAUUGGGCGUAAAGAGCUUGUAGGCGGUCUGUCGCGUCUGCUGUGAAAAUCCGGGGCUCAACCCCGGACUUGCAGUGGGUACGGGCAGACUAGAGUGUGGUAGGGGAGACUGGAAUUCCUGGUGUAGCGGUGAAAUGCGCAGAUAUCAGGAGGAACACCGGUGGCGAAGGCGGGUCUCUGGGCAGUAACUGACGCUGAGGAGCGAAAGCGUGGGGAGCAAACAGG
rnacentral:rRNA from 1 species